rnacentral:rRNA from 1 species
CAGUCGCCACGGGAAUACGUAGGGUGCGAGCGUUGUCCGGAAUUAUUGGGCGUAAAGAGCUCGUAGGCGGCUUGUCGCGUCGGAUGUGAAAGCCCGGGGCUUAACUCCGGGUCUGCAUUCGAUACGGGCAGGCUGGAGUGUGGUAGGGGAGAUCGGAAUUCCUGGUGUAGCGGCGAAAUGCGCAGAUAUCAGGAGGAACACCGGUGGCGAAGGCGGAUCUCUGGGCCAUUACUGACGCUGAGGAGCGAAAGCGUGGGGAGCAAACAGGAUUAGAUACCCCGGUAGUCCCUGUCUCUUAUAC